rnacentral:rRNA from 1 species
GACAGAGGGUGCAAACGUUGUUCGGAUUUACUGGGCGUAAAGCGUGUGUAGGCGGCUUGGCAAGUUGGAUGUGAAAGCCCACGGCUCAACCGUGGAAGCGCAUCCAAAACUGCUUCGCUCGAGUCUCGGAGAGGAAGGUGGAAUGCUUGGUGUAGAGGUGAAAUUCGUAGAUAUCAAGCGGAACACCGGUGGCGAAGGCGGCCUUCUGGACAGUGACUGACGCUGAGACGCGAAAGCGUGGGGAGCAAACAGG